rnacentral:rRNA from 1 species
GACGAACGCUGGCGGCGUGCCUAAUACAUGCAAGUAGAACGCUGAAGAGAGGAGCUUGCUCUUCUUGGAUGAGUUGCGAACGGGUGAGUAACGCGUAGGUAACCUGCCUUGUAGCGGGGGAUAACUAUUGGAAACGAUAGCUAAUACCGCAUAACAAUGGAUGACACAUGUCAUUUAUUUGGAAGGGGCAAUUGCUCCACUACAAGAUGGACCUGCGUUGUAUUAGCUAGUAGGUGAGGUAACGGCUCACCUAGGCGACGAUACAUAGCCGACCUGAGAGGGUGAUCGGCCACACUGGGACUGAGACACGGCCCAGACUCCUACGGGAGGCAGCAGUAGGGAAUCUUCGGCAAUGGGGGCAACCCUGACCGAGCAACGCCGCGUGAGUGAAGAAGGUUUUCGGAUCGUAAAGCUCUGUUGUAAGUCAAGAACGAGUGUGAGAGUGGAAAGUUCACACUGUGACGGUAGCUUACCAGAAAGGGACGGCUAACUACGUGCCAGCAGCCGCGGUAAUACGUAGGUCCCGAGCGUUGUCCGGAUUUAUUGGGCGUAAAGCGAGCGCAGGCGGUUUGAUAAGUCUGAAGUUAAAGGCUGUGGCUCAACCAUAGUUCGCUUUGGAAACUGUCAAACUUGAGUGCAGAAGGGGAGAGUGGAAUUCCAUGUGUAGCGGUGAAAUGCGUAGAUAUAUGGAGGAACACCGGUGGCGAAAGCGGCUCUCUGGUCUGUAACUGACGCUGAGGCUCGAAAGCGUGGGGAGCGAACAGGAUUAGAUACCCUGGUAGUCCACGCCGUAAACGAUGAGUGCUAGGUGUUGGAUCCUUUCCGGGAUUCAGUGCCGCAGCUAACGCAUUAAGCACUCCGCCUGGGGAGUACGACCGCAAGGUUGAAACUCAAAGGAAUUGACGGGGGCCCGCACAAGCGGUGGAGCAUGUGGUUUAAUUCGAAGCAACGCGAAGAACCUUACCAGGUCUUGACAUCCCGAUGCUAUUUCUAGAGAUAGAAAGUUACUUCGGUACAUCGGUGACAGGUGGUGCAUGGUUGUCGUCAGCUCGUGUCGUGAGAUGUUGGGUUAAGUCCCGCAACGAGCGCAACCCCUAUUGUUAGUUGCCAUCAUUCAGUUGGGCACUCUAGCGAGACUGCCGGUAAUAAACCGGAGGAAGGUGGGGAUGACGUCAAAUCAUCAUGCCCCUUAUGACCUGGGCUACACACGUGCUACAAUGGUUGGUACAACGAGUUGCGAGUCGGUGACGGCAAGCUAAUCUCUUAAAGCCAAUCUCAGUUCGGAUUGUAGGCUGCAACUCGCCUACAUGAAGUCGGAAUCGCUAGUAAUCGCGGAUCAGCACGCCGCGGUGAAUACGUUCCCGGGCCU